rnacentral:tRNA from 1 species
UCCCUGGUGGCUCAGCAGUAAAGAAUCUGCUUGCAAUGCAGGAGACCUGGGUUCAAUCCCUGGGCAGGGAA